UUUUUGUCUUAUCUCACUUCCUCUGAAAAAGCCUCACUUUUCACAGCUUGGCUGAAGCCUGAAUAAGCAGCUCUCUGUGCCUUGCCGAGACAUCUUGCCAAUGCAUGAGGCUAAGUGAUUUGCAGUUUGAAAAUCAUAACCAUUCUGCAUUGCAGCAUUUCACCAAAUAGGCAGAAGAGUACUCUAAGAACACGGACAAGAAUAUAGUAAAGUGCAUCAUCAGUGGUCUCUCUGCCUCCUUUCUCUCCCUCCUUCCCUCCCUUUCCACUCCACCCCCUUCUCUCUUACUUGGUGCCUGGAACUGGGAUGAAGUUCAGUGGUUCUCAAAUGCAUGGGAGGCACCUGGGGAACUUGUUAAAAUGCAAAUUCGAAGACCACAUCCUCAGAAAUUCAGACUCAAAACAGCUAAAUGAGCUCCAGGGAGUCUUUUUAACACCUCCUCCAUGACACCACCCUUAUCAUUUUGAUUAAAUAACUGGUAAGAUCUAAACGUGAAGAAACACCAGUAAACUGGUUAAAAUCUUGUAUUUGAACAUUGCCAUCUCACAUGCGGCUUUGAAUUCUAGCUCAGUAAUUGUCUCACUGGGUAACCUGAUCUCUAGUUUCCCUCAAAUGUGAAUAAAAGAUUUUGUGAGAAUUCAGGGGGCUAGGUGAGAAGUAUGUGUUCAAUGAAUAUGAGUUCUCAUUCUUAAAUCAUUAUAUUCUAAAGAAGCACAAAAGAAAUAAAAAUAGUAGAACAUAAAUCUAAUUAGUGGUCUUCUAGAGGGGAACAAGUAGUCUAAGUGUAUGUGAAACUAAAGGCAAAACUUGGACCAAUGUAUGAAAAACAGAAAGAAAGGGCUUCACUCUUUUAUUUCCAAAGAUCUACAGCCCAUAUCUCUCCCUUGACUUGUUCUGUUCCUCAGCCCCAUCCCCACUCAGCAUCCUUCAGGAGGUUUCUUGAACUCACUUCCUCAGGGAGGGUGACCUUCCUGACCUGCAGGUUAAAUCCACAUCACCAGUUACUUCCUCUUUAUGUGCUCCUCACGUGUUACUGUUAAUUACUAGUUUCAUGUCUGCCUUCCUACUGUACCAUGAGCUCUACUAAUGGAUGGGAGCUUGCAAGCUAUUAUAGCCUUAUUUCUAACUGUAUUUCUAACUUAUUUCUAACAUAGUAUGAGCCUGAUACAUACAUAUCGUUUGGGGAAGUAAAUAAAUGUAAGGAUAUAGGGAAAGUUUUUAAAAAAUUAAUUAGUGCUUUUUAACAAUUCAGUGAAAUGUCUUGGGGAUACUAACUUGCCGGUCAUGACAGGUCCAGUCAAAUGAACCACUUGGAUAUAUUGCUAAGGAAAUCCCUGUAGGGAGUCUUAAGUUCUCUUUCAGUUGGCCAGUUUUCAGAGCACAUCAAGAAAAUCUUGGGUAGUUUCUUGAAGAAAGACAAAGUCAUAAUGAAGAGCUUUGUUUUACCAUUUGCAAGGAGUUAGACAAAUUGCACAAGGAAACGCCAGAUGACAACAUCAAUUUUAAUUAUGUCUCAGUGAAACACCUGAAGGUACCAUUUAAAUGAUGCACUGGUACAGUUUGCAGGACCUCCAAAGGAUGAAGGGAGAAUUAAUGUGGUAGAGACAGAAUGAUUUUAUUUACCAAUCUACUCCUAGCUUUGUUGCAUUUACGUUUUUUCUUUCCUCAUAUGGAGAAAUUUUAGCUUGGUAUUAAUAUUCCCACAAAGGAAAGGUGAUUCACGAGCUGAAUGAAUUAAGCAUUCUACCAGACUUGUUCUCAAAAGUUGGAAAAACAGCAAAACUCACACAUUAUUUCAAGCCUGGAAAAGCUGAGCUAAUAUUUUUCUCCAUUGUCUUUCAUUUUCUGCUUCUGGCCAAAAAUAGAAAGCCACUUUUAUAUCCUUUUAAACGUGUUCUUAGGGGAAAAGGCAUCUUCCAAGUGGAAGCAGGAACAGAGAAUAAAUGCUCAGUUCUAUUUCUUUUGGCAGAUAGACUUCAUUUGAAUUUUUUGCUCAUAUGGCUGGAGGUCUCAAUACUGCAAAAUAAAAGCCUACCUGGCAACUUAGAAAAGGUGAAGAAGACCACAUAACUCCUAGCCAAGUUCUUAAUCAAUUUAGUCCUCAUUACAACCUAACUUCCUCUAUGGGCCAGUUUCUCUGAGUAUUUAUAUUCCAUUAUUUUCAAAGAAAACCAAGAGUGCCAUAUAGAAUGACAGUUAACUGUGAUAAGCAUGGAAGCAUACAUAGAUAAAUUAUAUACUCAUUCUUCAUUUAUUUGCAAAACUAUGGAGAUGCAAUUUUUAAGAUAUUUCUAUACAUUUCUCUAUUCAUUUCUUUGAGCCCAGUUGUUUCCUUUUGGGAAAGAAAAUACACAGAAAACAAUGACAAAGUGUACUCCUGGCUCAGUAUUAAUAGCUCCAGUAACAGACUACCUGUGAGUUCUGGGAGGUCAUUUUGCAAAGGCUGUAGUACUUAGUUUGGUUGAUGAAAACCCCUGAUACUUGUUAGUAGUUUGAGCUUUAUCAAGUUUAUCACUUCCCAUAAAUACAAGAAAAAGCCAGUGGGAGGACAACCGUAUCAUCAGAUAGGGAAGUACUGAAACAUUGUGUGAAGAUAAAACCCUUCUAUAUCACACACCCAAUGAAGUCGGUGAGAAAGACGAGUGUAUUGUCUCUCUCCUACGUGGAAAAAAGUAACUAGAGAAGGAUUACUUUACUGAAGCAGUUUCCAAAGUGAAUUCCUUAGAUGAUAUUCUAUGGUCAAAAAGGUUUGCACAGUAGCUUUGUACUAUUUCUAUUUUUGGAGCAUCACAUGCAUUUUAGUCAAUUAAAGACCUUACAGAUUCCUGAAACUAUGUGUACUUUUAAUUAAUUUAACUUUCCCUGAUUCAUUUGGCCCCUAUUUUACAGUACAUCUAUUAACAAUAACUAGACUUCAACUAAAAAAUAGUACCUUAACAUAUAAGUCCCUCCGUACCCCCCACCCCCAGCCCUUCUCUUCCUUCAGACUUUAUGUGAGGACAACCUACAGUAGUCUCAGCACUUUUCAAUCUCUUAUAUGUCAUGACUUGUCAUAUUAUGGACAAAUAUAAUGCAAAUAAAUUAUAGUAGUUGCUUGCCACACAUGUACAUAAUGAAUCAUUACUAUUUUUCCACUUAAUGGUUUUUGUCUUUACCUGCUAUAGAAUAUUCUGUGAAUUCUCCUAUUUUAUAAAUUUGUGAAGUACUGUUCCAGUAUGGGGUCACUAGCAUGGGGAAAAGCAUUCAAGCGCAGUUUACCAUUGGGAAUUCCAUUCUGAUGAGCUAACAGGUAUGCACAGGGUGACCCAGCCUGGCUAUGAGGCAUAUUUGUGUACUGACUGUGGAGUCCUCUCUACUUACCUAUUGUUUGGUGUCUACU
rnacentral:lncRNA from 1 species